rnacentral:rRNA from 1 species
GAUGAACGCUGGCGGCGUGCCUAAUACAUGCAAGUCGAGCGAACCCACGAGGAGUUUUGUCGUCUGGCGUUGUCGGCGGACGGGUGAGUACCACGUGGUUAACCUACCUCUACGACUGGGAUACUUUCAGGAAACCGGAGCUAAUACCGGAUAAUCUAUUGCACCGCAUGGGUCACUAGUGAAAGACGGUUUUUCUGUCACUUAUAGAUGGCUCCGCACCGCAUUCGUUAGUUGUUAAGGUAGCGGGUUACCAACGCAACGAGGCGUAGCCGACCCGAGAGGGUGGACGGCCAGACUGGAUGAGAGACAGAGUCCAGACACCGGCGGGAGGCAGCAGUCGGGAAUCUUCCGCGAGGGGGGAAAGGCGGACAGAGCAACGCCGCGGGAGUGAUGAAGGUCUUCUGAUCGGAGAGCGCUGUAAGUAGGAGGGAAGAAAAGUGUAAUUAACUGGGAACGUAUUGACGGUACCGGAACAGAAAGCCACGGCUAACUACGUG